GCCACUGUAGUGUAGUGGUAAGCAUAUUGGACCGGCAAUCCAGAGACAUGGGUUCAAGUCCCGACUGUGGCA